AUCUUGGAGAGUUUGAUCCUGGCUCAGGACGAACGCUGGCGGCGUGCUUAACACAUGCAAGUCGAACGAAGAG
rnacentral:rRNA from 1 species